GACGAACGCUGGCGGCGUGCUUAACACAUGCAAGUCGAACGGAAAGGCCCUGCUUUUGUGGGGUGCUCGAGUGGCGAACGGGUGAGUAACACGUGAGUAACCUGCCCUUGACUUUGGGAUAACUUCAGGAAACUGGGGCUAAUACCGGAUAGGAGCUCCUGCUGCAUGGUGGGGGUUGGAAAGUUUCGGCGGUUGGGGAUGGACUCGCGGCUUAUCAGCUUGUUGGUGGGGUAGUGGCUUACCAAGGCUUUGACGGGUAGCCGGCCUGAGAGGGUGACCGGCCACAUUGGGACUGGGAUCCGGCCCAGACUCCUACGGGAGGCAGCAGUGGGGAAUAUUGCACAAUGGGCGGAAGCCUGAUGCAGCAACGCCGCGUGCGGGAUGACGGCCUUCGGGUUGUAACCGCUUUCGCCUGUGACGAAGCGUGAGUGACGGUAAUGGGUAAAGAAGCACCGGCUAACUACGUG
rnacentral:rRNA from 1 species